rnacentral:rRNA from 1 species
AUUGAACGCUGGCGGCAGGCCUAACACAUGCAAGUCGAGCGAGUGGCGGACGGGUGAGUAAUGUAUGGGGACUGCCUGAUAGAGGGGGAUAACUACUGGAAACGGUGGCUAAUACCGCAUACUAUCGGAUAACCCAUAUGGGAUUAGCUUGUUGGUGGGGUAAAGGCUCACCUAGGCGACGAUCUCUAGCUUGUCUGAGAGGAUGAUCAGCCACACUGGAACUGAGACAGGGCCCAGACUCCGACGGAGGCAGCAGUGGGGAAUAUUGCACAAUGGGCGCAAGCCUGAUGCAGCCAUGCCGCGUGUAUGAAGAAGGCCUUAGGGUUGUAAAGUACUUUCAGCGGGGAGGCGUUACCCGCAGAAGAAGCACCGGCUAACGCCGUGCCAGCCGCCGCGGUAAUAC